GGCGAGGUGGCCGAGUGGUUAAGGCGACAGACUAGAAUUGACUGUCCCAGACUAUUCUACGCCAUCUGUUGGGUUCGCCCGCGUAGGUUCAAAUCCUGCCCUCGUCG
rnacentral:tRNA from 1 species